GACGAACGCUGGCGGCGUGCUUAACACAUGCAAGUCGAACGAAGAGCGACGGAAGCUUGCUUCUAUCAAUCUUAGUGGCGAACGGGUGAGUAACGCGUAAUCAACCUGCCCUUCAGAGGGGGACAACAGUUGGAAACGACUGCUAAUACCGCAUACGAUCUAAUCUCGGCAUCGAGGAUGGAUGAAAGGUGGCCUCUACAUGUAAGCUAUCACUGAAGGAGGGGAUUGCGUCUGAUUAGCUAGUUGGAGGGGUAACGGCCCACCAAGGCGAUGAUCAGUAGCCGGUCUGGGAGGAUGAACGGCCACAUUGGGACUGAGACACGGCCCAGACUCCUACGGGAGGCAGCAGUGGGGAAUCUUCCGCAAUGGACGAAAGUCUGACGGAGCAACGCCGCGUGAGUGAUGACGGCCUUCGGGUUGUAAAGCUCUGUUAAUCGGGACGAAAGGCCUUCUUGCGAAUAGUGAGAAGGAUUGACGGUACCGGAAUAGAAAGCCACGGCUAACUACGUG
rnacentral:rRNA from 1 species